GACGAACGCUGGCGGCGUGCCUAACACAUGCAAGUCGAGCGGAAGUUGAAGAGCUUGCUCUUCAACUUUAGCGGCGGACGGGUGAGUAACACGUGGGCAACCUGCCCUGCAGAUCGGGAUAACUCCGGGAAACCGGUGCUAAUACCGAAUAGUUUUCGCCACCUCCUGGUGGCGUACGGAACGACGGUUUCGGCUGUCACUGCAGGAUGGGCACGCGGCGCAUUAGCUAGUUGGUGGGGUAACGGCCCACAAAGGCGACGAUGGGUAGCCGACCUGAGAGGGUGAUCGGCCACACUGGGACUGAGACACGGCCCAGACUCCUACGGGAGGCAGCAGUAGGGAAUCUUCCGCAAUGGACGAAAGUCUGACGGAGCAACGCCGCGUGAGUGACGAAGGUUUUCGGAUCGUAAAACUCUGUUGUGAGGGAAGAACAAGUACCAACUAACUACUGGUACCUUGACGGUACCUCACCAGAAAGCCACGGCUAACUACGUGCCAGCCGCCGCCGUAACAC
rnacentral:rRNA from 1 species